UACAGAGGUCCCAAGCGUUGUUCGGAUUCAUUGGGCGUAAAGGGUGCGUAGGUGGCGCCGUAAGUCGGGUGUGAAAUUUCGGAGCUUAACUCCGAAACUGCAUUCGAUACUGCGGUGCUUGAGGACUGGAGAGGAGACUGGAAUUCAUGGUGUAGCGGUGGAGUGCGCAGAUAUCAGGAGGAACACCGAUGGCGAAGGCAGUUCUCUGGGCCGUAACUGACGCUGAGGAGCGAAAGCGUGGGGAGCGAACAGG
rnacentral:rRNA from 1 species